AACGAACGCUGGCGGCGCGCCUAAUACAUGCAAGUCGAGCGAGAAGACGUAGCAAUACGUUUGUAAAGCGGCGAACGGGUGAGGAAUACAUGGGUAACCUACCCUCGAGUGGGGAAUAACUAGCCGAAAGGUUAGCUAAUACCGCGUACGCUCCUUGGACUUCGGUUCAGGGAGGAAAGCGAUACCGUGGUAUCGCGCUCUUGGAUGGGCUCAUGUCCUAUCAGCUUGUUGGGAGGUAACGGCUCACCAAGGCUUCGACGGGUAGCUGGUCUGAGAGGACGAUCAGCCACACUGGCACUGCGACACGGGCCAGACCUCCUACGGGAGGCAGCAGUAAGGAAUAUUGCGCAAUGGGCGAAAGCCUGACGCAGCGACGCCGCGGU
rnacentral:rRNA from 1 species